GGCUGUAGCUCAGUGGUAGAGCACUUGCCUUGCAUGUAUGAGGCACUGGGUUCGGUCCUCAGCACCA
rnacentral:tRNA from 1 species